rnacentral:rRNA from 1 species
CGUUGGGCACUAGGUGUGGGGGACAUUCCACGUUUUCCGCGCCGUAGCUAACGCAUUAAGUGCCCCGCCUGGGGAGUACGGCCGCAAGGCUAAAACUCAAAGGAAUUGACGGGGGCCCGCACAAGCGGCGGAGCAUGCGGAUUAAUUCGAUGCAACGCGAAGAACCUUACCAAGGCUUGACAUGAACCGGAAAGGCCUGGAAACAGGUCCCCCACUUGUGGCCGGUUUACAGGUGGUGCAUGGUUGUCGUCAGCUCGUGUCGUGAGAUGUUGGGUUAAGUCCCGCAACGAGCGCAACCCUCGUUCUAUGUUGCCAGCGGGUUAUGCCGGGGACUCAUAGGAGACUGCCGGGGUCAACUCGGAGGAAGGUGGGGACGACGUCAAAUCAUCAUGCCCCUUAUGUCUUGGGCUUCACGCAUGCUACAAUGGCCGGUACAAAGGGUUGCGAUACUGUGAGGUGGAGCUAAUCCCAAAAAGCCGGUCUCAGUUCGGAUUGAGGUCUGCAACUCGACCUCAUGAAGUUGGAGUCGCUAGUAAUCGCAGAUCAGCAACGCUGCGGUGAAUACGUUCCCGGGCCUUGUACACACCGCCCGUCAAGUCACGAAAGUUGGUAACACCCGAAGCCGGUGGCCUAACCCCUUGUGGGAGGGAGCCGUCGAAGGUGGGACCGGCGAUUGGGACUAAGUCGUAACAAGGUAACC